rnacentral:rRNA from 1 species
AGAGUUUGAUCCUGGCUCAGGACGAACGCUGGCGGCGUGCCUAACACAUGCAAGUCGAACGGAGUCGGCCCCGCCAAGGGACUGACUUAGUGGCGAGCGGGUGAGUAACGCGCGAGCAACCUGCCUUUCAUGGGGGACGAACAGUUGGAAACGACUGCUAAUACCGCAUAAUGCAUUUUGUACCGCAUGAUCGAGAUGCCAAAGAUUUAUUGCUGAAAGAUGGGCUCGCGUCUGAUUAGAUAGUUGGUGAGGUAACGGCCCACCAAGUCGACGAUCAGUAGCCGGACUGAGAGGUUGAACGGCCACAUUGGGACUGAGAUACGGCCCAGACUCCUACGGGAGGCAGCA